UUCCCGGCCACGCCCAGCACGGCCGAGGUCAGCGGGAAGUGGUACAGGAGGUACCUGGGACAGGUGAGACGGGACAGGUGUGACACAGGGACAGGUGUGUGACAGGACAGGUGUGCAAUUCCCGGCCACGCCCAGCACGGCCGAGGUCAGCGGGAAGUGGUACAGGAGGUACCUGGGACAGGUGA